rnacentral:rRNA from 1 species
GAUGAACGCUGGCGGCGUGCCUAAUACAUGCAAGUCGAGCGAAUGGAUUAAGAGCUUGCUCUUAUGAAGUUAGCGGCGGACGGGUGAGUAACACGUGGGUAACCUGCCAUAAGACUGGGAUAACUCCCGGAAACCGGGGCUAAUACCGGAUAACAUUUUGAACCGCAUGGUUCGAAAUUGAAAGGCGGCUUCGGCUGUCACUUUGGGAUGGACCCGCGUCGCAUUAGCUAGUUGGUGAGGUAACGGCUCACCAAGGCAACGAUGCGUAGCCGACCUGAGAGGGUGAUCGGCCACACUGGGACUGAGACACGGCCCAGACUCCUACGGGAGGCAGCAGUAGGGAAUCUUCCGCAAUGGACGAAAGUCUGACGGAGCAACGCCGCGUGAGUGAUGAAGGCUUUCGGGUCGUAAAACUCUGUUGUUAGGGAAGAACAAGUGCUAGUUGAAUAAGCUGGCACCUUGACGGUACCUAACCAGAAAGCCACGGCUAACUACGUGCCAGCCGCCGCAGUAA